rnacentral:lncRNA from 1 species
UGGCUUUCAGAUAGUCACCUUCUUACUGUGUCUUCGUCAUUCUGUGUACACAUCCCUGGUAUCUCUGAGUUACAAGGACACUGGCUAUACGAUGUCCGGAAGUGGUGGGUUCUUGGUCUCACUGACUUCAAAAAUGAAGACGAAGACGUGGACUCUGGCGGUGAGUGUUACAGUUCUUAAAGGCGGUGUGUCCGGAGUUCAUUCCUUAUAAUGUUGGGAGUUUCUUCCUUAUGGUGGGUUUGUGGUCUCGCUGGCUCCGGAGUGAAGCUGCAGACCUUCGCGGUGAGUGUUACAGCUCUUAAGGCGGCACGUCUGGAGUUGCUGGAUCCUCCCGGUGCGUUUGUGGUCUCGCUGACUUCAGGACUGAAGCUGCAAACCUUUGCCGUGAGUGUUACAGCUUAUAAAAGCAAUGUGGACCCACAGAGAGAACAGCAGCAAGAUUUAUUGGAAAGAGAUAAAGAAUAAGGCUUCCACACUGUGGGAGGGGACCGGA